AGUGAACGCUGGCGGCAGGCCUAAUACAUGCAAGUCGAACGGCAGCACAGUGGAGCUUGCUCCAUGGGUGGCGAGUGGCGGACGGGUGAGGAAUACAUGGGAAUCUGCCCAGUCGUGGGGGAUAACGUAUGGAAACGUACGCUAAUACCGCAUGCGCCCUUCGGGGGAAAGUCGGGGACCGCAAGGCCUGACGCGAUUGGAUGAGCCCAUGUUCGAUUAGCUAGUUGGCGGGUAACGGCCCACCAAGGCGACGAUCGAUAGCUGGUCUGAGAGGAUGAUCAGCCACACUGGACUGAGACACGGUCCAGACUCCUACGGGAGGCAGCAGUAGGGAAUAUUGGACAAUGGGCGCAAGCCUGAUCCAGCCAUGCCGCGUGAGUGAAGAAGGCCUCGGGUGUAAAGCUCUUUGUUGGGGAAGAAAGCAGUUGGUUAAUACCCGAUUGUUCUGACGGUACCCAAAGAAUAAGC
rnacentral:rRNA from 1 species